rnacentral:lncRNA from 1 species
GCUCUUCCCUAGCAAUGCCAGAUUUCCUUCUCCGUGCCAGGAAAGCGGGCAGCAAUCUGGUACCGGGGCUGGCUGGUUCGACGCCUCUGCGGCUUCCUGGCUGUCUGGGACUGGAAGGUGCCCGCCGACACCCCCAGGGACCUCCCGGAGAGAGUCUGCCGCAGCCGCAGGGUACGGGACGUCGCUGCCAGGCAGGCCCGUGGCUCGGGGGGGAACAGCGAGUCCCGCCAGGGGUGGAAGGAGAAAGUCCUAGAGAUCCUGGCUGGGAUCCAGGCCCCGCUCUCCCUCCCCGUGCUCAGGUGGGUGCGGGGCCGUGCGGCUGCUCCCAGCCCCAGCUUGGCCAUUCCCAGUCCCGCUCCUCCGCUCCAGCUCCCUCCUGCUCUUCAGGUGGGGCAUGGAGCCCCUUGCAAGGGGGGAUUGCUCCUUGGGGUCUCGCAUGGCCUCCUAGGGAUAUUUCCCCCUCUGCAGAGCUGGAAUACAAAAUGCUGGAGUGGUGGUGGCGGGGGGAGCCACACCAGGGGGGUGGAAAUCAAAGCAAAGCAAAGGAAAAUUUCUCCUUUUUCUCCCCCCCCCCUUUUUUUUUUUCCUUUUACCUCCUGUCAUUGAGAAAUUGGCAAUUAAAGGUUGCAUUGUACCCUAAUUGCUCGUCUGAUUGAGCUGUAAUAAAAGAACCUUCUGAGCAGUCUGAAGUAUUUAA